rnacentral:rRNA from 1 species
GGUAACGCGGUGCCAGUGGCCGCGGGAAUCCAGAGGGUGGGAGCGUGUGGCGGAAGCACUGGGCGGAAAGGUGGCGGAGGCGGCCUGGCAAGUCGGUGGUGAAAGCUCAGGGCUCAACGCGUAGUCGGCCAUAGAUACUGCGAGGCUCGAGUCGACUAGAGGCAGAUGGAAUUCCGGGUGUAGCGGUGGAAUGCGUAGAGAUCCGGAAGAACACCGGUGGCGAAGGCGGUCUGCUGGGGUCGAACUGACGCUGAUGCGCGACAGCGUGGGGAGCAAACAGGAUUAGAUACCCGAGUAGUC